rnacentral:ncRNA from 1 species
CUCACAGGGGUGCCUUAUAAUGACAGGCUGAGAACAAACCCAUUGUAUCUGAACCGGGUAAUACCGGCGUAGAGAAUUGUAACUA